UCUUAGCUACAACACGGGAGACCUUUAUUUUGAAGACUCGCGAUUUGUGGUCACAACAAACAUUACUGACACCUACCCAUGAGCCCACUCUUUUUCCAUUUACUAUAACAAGCAUCCUCAACCACUGAGCACCGACCAACACUGGAUGUCCAUGGACGUUGAAAACGUUUCAAGCCUCCAAGCUAGCUACCUAACGUUAACAUACCGUCGUAGCAGCAUUAGCAGCUUGUUUUGCUGGCGAUAUGGAUUCAAAAGGUCUCAAUCUCCCUCUAUCCUCCUUGUGUCUCCUGGUUCCACCAAUACGCUUGAUGUCAGCAUCCAUGUGGCACGUGGCUGAGCAGCGUAAUGUGAUGCAGUAUGGGAAGCUGGAGGAAUUUGUGACUUUGGUGACAGAGAUGGUUCCAGAGCUGUUAAGCUCCAGGCAGAGGACCCAACUCAUUCUAGGACUGAGAGCAAGGCUGGUUCUUGAGUUGUGCUGUGGUAAAGAGGACAUGGUGGACCAUCAAACCAUCCAACGCCACUUGGAUAGAAUCCAGUCAUGCACAGUAAAGCACAAAGUGGGUGUAAUUUCAUGUUCAGAGCAAAAACAAGAAAGUGGAGGCAUCAAAGUCUAACUUUGUGGAGCUGGUCCAAACCCUGCUGGAAGACCCAGCGAAGAGGGAGCACUUUCUUCAGGAGGUGUUACCAGUGCAGUACGGUACUAAGUAUGACACAGCACUGCAGAUUCUGGUGUGGGAGUUCUUCUCCAGACUGGAGGAGUUGCUGCUGGUACCCAGCUUUACACAGACAGCAUCUUGUCUCAGCCUUGCCUUCUCUGACCUGGAGGAGUGUGUUCAGUCUGUCUCUGACCCUGAGCACCUGAAGACACUGCUACAGCAUCAAAGACAUCUUGGACACCUAAACAGAGAUCAUUUGUUCUACGACUCUGACACCAUCCUGUCCGCUCUGACCCUCACUUCCUUGGUAAAAUCGAAACAAACUUCAGUGGAGGCUUGAGGUCGUGACACUAGUUCUGGACAGCAGAAACCAGGAUCAUCACUACACGCCCAUGGCCGUCGACGGGAAGGACAUUCGGAGCAGAGUACAUUACAUACCUCUGUGCACUGUUCAUGGCGAUUGCCAAACUGUGUUAUUGAUAACUGGUUGUUAUUACUAGUUGGAACAAUAUUAAGUUAAGCGACAGUGCUUUUUCCAUUAGACUAGUCAGGCUGCUGUUUCCAUUGUGGCUGUAGCUACUCCACCAACAGAGCUUUAUUUGAGCCGGAUCCUGCCGAAAUAGGAACCAGUUUUCCCGGAUCUGGUACCUCUUGUGGCAUGAAACAUAAUUUUCACUGUUUGCAAUGUAGAAAUUCUAAUAAGAGCAGUCAGAGUUAAAUACGUUGACUAUUCCCCAAAAGUGAAGUCUGUUUUUAUUUUGGGGGGGAUAUUGGUACCCUAAAGCCAAGGAUUUAAUGGUUGAAUUAAGUAAGACAUUAAUUCUAAUGACAUGGAUUCUAUUUUAGCUCUAAUUAUAGGUAACCAGUGGGCAACUAAGAUUCCAAAUUGUAGAUUUUAACAAGUUACACAAUUCAGUAUUUCAUCAUAUAUUCCCUUCAGACCUGUGUUCAAAUACUAUUUGAAAUCUCUGAAAUGUGUUUAGCGUUUGCUUUAGCUUGCCUAGAGUGCCAGAUGGGUGGGGUUUGCAGUUUUGUGACUACUCUAUUGGUUCCAUUGUGAAAUUAUUUCAAAUAGUAGACUAUUUGAAGUUGAAACCAGGUCUACUUCUAUAGCUGGUGAGGUAGUGGUUACUGCUGUUACCACAAUUCCUAGAAGCCGACAUGUUUCAAAAUGUUACCACCACAUUGUUGGGAAGUUGAUGUGAUGUAACAAUGAGUUGACCUCCUAGAAAAACCCAUCUGCUUGAGCUGCUCUUUGUUGAGUUCUUCUAUGGGGGUGUAUUUAUGAUGGAUGAGUUGACCGUGGUCUGGCCACUGCAUGCUGAAAAUGCCUAUUAUAAUUGUGUCAGUCACCAGCUGAAAUAGAGAACCACCUGUGAAGAUGCUAUGUAAUCAGUCACCACAAUAGUUUGAGUACAUUUACAAUAAUAAUUUGCUAGCUAGCCAGGGUUUUGACAGUUGUUUGACAAUAUACUGUAACAGUUGAUCGUGGUCCAGGGCCAGCUUGCCCUAUAUGCAGACCAUGCACUACGCAUUGCUGACUUUAAAAAAUAAGGAAAACACUGUUGAGGGUUUGAAUAGUAGAAUUUCUGCAUAUUUCUUCCAUGCCUUCUUCACCCUCUACGGGACAGAAGGCCACAAUCCAACAUGAUGACCAAUAUUCAGUUUAUCUUAAAUUGCUUGUUCAGCUGAGGCACUAUACUGUACAUACUGUACAUGUAGCAGACAUGAGACAGGCUCAUGGUCUCGUGAUGAGGUAGCCCUGCCUCACCCUUGGCCUUAGAGAGAGUAUCCUCUUGGUCUUACUGUCAAGGUGUUUUUCUCCUGUGGGAGACCCGGGUUCAGAUCCCGCCCGUGACAGUAGCCGUACUCAUUUUACCUUGCUGUAAAAUCAACAUGCCCUUCCUGGUGUUCUCCUGCCCCCACCAAGGAGGGAUGUCUGUCAAACCCAUUUUGCCUUGGGAAUGUCUUCAUAGAGACUCCAAAUUCGUUAAUGGGAUAAUUUUACAAAAAUGUAACACAAUCUUAAUGAUUUUUGUUUAGUUUUUUACCUUGAAAGAAGUUGUCUGUCUUACAAUUUUAGUACAAACACGACGGAGAGGCCUGUGAAGUAAAUGUGUAAACAUUUAAGAUAUCUCACACACUGCAAUCCAACUUCUAUUGCGCCAAUAUCACUUGAGAUAAGAUCUGGAUUUGACUUAAAACAUUUAGGAACGUAUUGCGUGCGUUAUUUACUUAACAGGGCUUUUCAUAGAGCUUGUACUAAAACUCUACUCGACCACAACUACAUUUCAAAAUUGACCACUCUUUCAUUUGAGGGGGCACGUAGCCUAGUGGUUAGAGCAUUGGGCCAGUAACCGAAAGAUUGCUAGAUCAAAUUCCCAAGCUGACAAGUUAUAAAUCUGUCGUUCUGCCCCAUAUCAAGGCAGUUAACCCACUGUUCCUAGGUCGUCAUUGUAAAUAAGAAUUUAUUGUUAUUUAGUUAAACAAAGGUCAUAAAAUUAUAAUGAGAUUUUUGACAAGGAUUACCUUUUUUUGGAGGUCAUUGCCUUGUCAAAUACUAUAUACAUAUCGACAGCAAUCUGGGGGGAAAAGUUUCAAAUAGCAGGACUGAUUAUAUACUGAACAAAAAUAUAAAGGCAACAUGCAAUAAUUUUAUGAUUGUAUUUUGAUUGUACUGAGUUACAGGAAAUCAGUCAAUUGAAAUAAAUUCAUUGAGUCCUAAAUCUAUGGAUUUCAUAUGACUAGGAAUACAGAUAUGCAUCUGUUUGUCAUAGUUUACCUUUAAAAUAAAUGGGCCUCACAAUUGGCCUCAGGAAAUUCAUUAGGCCCAUAUCUAUGGAUUUCACAUGACUACGAAUACAAAUAUGCAUCUGUUGGUCACAGAUAUUAAAAUUGCAAUUGA